CAACAUGGGGAGCUUAUAAAAGGCUGAGAGGAAGUUUAUAUAAUUAAAUUUCGACCCUUAUAACCUGUUUGGGUAAUGCCAGCGUAGGGAAUUAUCUCUU
rnacentral:ncRNA from 1 species